rnacentral:rRNA from 1 species
AACGAACGCUGGCGGCAGGCCUAACACAUGCAAGUCGAGCGAACCCUUCGGGGUUAGCGGCGGACGGGUUAGUAACGCGUGGGAAUAUACCCUUUGGUACGGAAUAGCCUCGGGAAACUGAGAGUAAUACCGUAUGUGCCCUUCGGGGGAAAGAUUUAUCGCCAAAGGAUUAGCCCGCGUUGGAUUAGAUAGUUGGUGGGGUAAUGGCCUACCAAGUCUACGAUCCAUAGCUGGUUUGAGAGGAUGAUCAGCAACACUGGGACUGAGACACGGCCCAGACUCCUACGGGAGGCAGCAGUGGGGAAUCUUAGACAAUGGGCGCAAGCCUGAUCUAGCCAUGCCGCGUGGACGAUGAAGGCCUUAGGGUUGUAAAGUCCUUUCAGAUGGGAAGAUAAUGACGGUACCAUCAGAAGAAGCCCGGCUAACUCCGUG